GACAGAGGGUGCAAACGUUGCUCGGAAUCACUGGGCGUAAAGGGCGUGUAGGCGGGAAGGAAAGUCAGAUGUGAAAUCCCCCAGGCUCAACCUGGGAACUGCAUUUGAAACUCCCUUUCUUGAGUACCGGAGAGGAAAGUGGAAUUCCUGGUGUAGAGGUGAAAUGCGUAGAUAUCUGGAGGAACACCGGUGGCGAAGGCGGCAUCCUGGACCAACACUGACGCUGAGUGAGCGAAAGCCAGGGAGCAAACGGG
rnacentral:rRNA from 1 species